CUGAUUUGAUGCUCAAGAAACGUUUUUUUAAUCAUUGUUAUCCAUGUUUAAAACAGUUUCACUGCUUAAUAUUUUUGUGGAUUGUUUUUCUUUUCUGGAUUCAAGAACAUUUAUUCACUGAAAUACACAGUUUCUUGAAAAGCACCGUUUUUGGUCAUCCAUUAGCUCGGUUGUUUAUUUCUGUUCACGAGGGCUCUAUGAGUCACGUACUGAACUGAUGCCCAGUGACACACAUUGCGUUAAAAGUUCACUGAUUCUAGACAAUUCUAUAUGAGUGGACAGAGCGAUUAAAGCGUCCCGGAUUCACAGGAUUUUUCUUGGCUACAUGUUUGCAGGCGAAUUUCCCUGGGGGUUUCUUCUUCCUGUUUCAUUAUGAUUUCCAUACUCCACAUUAAUGAUAUCAUACUCUCACUGUUGCCGACCCCUCUGCUGGAGCACAGAUAUGAUUACACUGAUGCAGUUUCUGGCAUUUUUCAUCGCAGACACGCAGCGAUUCCAAGCCGGUGCCACAGAGGUUCAUUGUGUCUCUGCCAGCCUCUCACAGAAGCCCCAUCCAACUUCUCACCUGCAGCAUUAUGCUCUGUGGAUCUCACUCAAGGGUAAUUGGGACCUCGCAUUCUGGGACCAGCUCUGCCUUUGUUCCCCUGGUCGGAUGCACUGACCCGGAUGUGUGAGGUCGCAGUCAUGUUAAUUGGCGCGGGGUGUUGCAGCUGCAUGAUUCGCUGUGUUUUUCCAUGAGUCUGUGUGUGUGGAAAUUGCUCAUCGGAGUGAAUAAAUCUGUUUCCAAAGGACAGCAAAACACUAUUAGAAACAAACACAUGCUGAUUGAACACAUUUAAAUUAUUUAUAAGCAUUUACUUUUUGAUAGUGGCAUCAAUUUUAUCUAUGUUGUGUAAAAGGUAGAGUGUUAGAAGCAGAUCUCUGGACCGUUCGAGGGCUCCCCCACCUGUCCAUCUGUCAUUACUCUCAGUGGAUCCGCAGUCAGCCGGCUCUGUUCCGGACAGGAAUAGAACAGCUGUCCCGGCGGACUCUGACCGGUCCCGCUGCACCUGUUCUGACCUCAGGGACAGUUGUCUCUCCAUUUGUUUUUUUGCUAUGGCAAGGUGUCCUUGGCUCUUAGCUGCCCUGUUAUACAGUAAGAACAUAAUGAUUAUUAUGGCCAGUAUGAGAAAACACAUUACGCAGAUCAUAUGCACAUGCCAUGGCUUUCAACAAGCUAUUCAAAUAUUGACUUUAUUCAACACUAAAUAGCAUUCUUAACCCAUUUUAUUUCCAUAUAAUGUUAUAUAUUUCUAUUUUACAGGAAAUUCUGCAUAGCAUGAAAAUGAAACUAUAUAGCAAUGCCCUGUCAACCACAGACACACCUUUGUAGUGGUGAGUUUUGCACAGGUAAAAAACCCUGGCUGUUAGUUCUUUUUUUAUUAUUAUUAUAAAUUUAGUACAACUUCUUGUUGCAAAACAGGUGAAGCAAUUUAUUUGUCACUACUGGAACUUCACCAGCCAUUUUACAGUUAUAUAUUUUGAACUGUGCAGUUAUACAUUGUAUGAAUAACAUAGAUGUAUGGUAAUGUAUACAGUAAUGUAAAAAUCUU